rnacentral:lncRNA from 1 species
AUAUCUGGCCUCAUCUUACUGAAUCAGAAUCUGUGCCAUUUUCUUCAACUAUUAUUUUUAAAGAGCUCCCCUGGUGAUUCUCAUGCAGAGACUAGAUCCAAUGCAUGUUAUCUCAGAGAGCAGAGAAUUUUAUUUUUCAUGAAAACCUCCAGAGAAAGAUAAUCUGCAGCCCACAUUCCCAUGUUCAACUCUCCUUCCUGUCGAGAGAUAACUUCCCUGUGGAUCCAUUAAAUCCUCGUCCUGUACUUAAGCUUAUUUGUCCCUGUUUCUCCUUAGCGCAGAGAUAAUACCUAGUACUACCCGCUUGGAGUUUGGUUUGCAAAGGAUUUUCUCAUUUGAGAUUUAAAAAAAAAAACUGAGUUCAUCCCUCAAAGAUCACUUUUUAAAAUUAACUGCUCACCUCUUCACUUUCCCUUUCCAGGAUAAAUGAUCACAUCCCUCUCCUGCGCACACCCCACGCUUCUCCCGCAUACCACUCAGCACAGUGUCUGGAACAUAAAUCCUCAAUGGAUAUUAACUUAUCUCACUGGAAUUUGGAUACAGAAGUACCCAUUCCUGAAAAUAAAAACCUCCCACCUGGAAGGGAUGGUGCCACAGGUGAACCAUGGAAAUUCCAGUAGAGCAACUCAUGCUGCUUUAUAG